rnacentral:rRNA from 1 species
AGAGAGAGACAUGCGCGCAUAUCAAUAAGCGGAGGAAAAGAAACUAACGAGGAUUCCCUUAGUAACGGCGAGUGAAGCGGGAAGAGCUCAAAUUUGAAAUCUUCAAGGGUUUACCUUUACGAAUUGUAGUUUAAAGAAGUGUUUUCUGUUGAGGUUUUGGUAAAAGUUCUUUGGAAUAGGACAUCAUAGAGGGUGAGAAUCCCGUAUUUGACCUUUACUUUCAACUUUGUGAUACACUUUCAAAGAGUCGGAUUGUUUGGGAAUGCAGUCCAAAAUGGGUGGUAAAUUUUCAUCUAAAGCUAAAUAUUGGCGAGAGACCGAUAGCGAACAAGUACCGUGAGGGAAAGAUGAAAAGAACUUUGAAAAGAGAGUUAAACAGUACGUGAAAUUGUCAAAAGGGAAGCGUUUGACACCAGUGUUGUUUUUCUGAAAAUCAAUUAAAGAACUGUUUAUGCUAAGUUGUUUAGACUUUAUCAGCUAACUGUUUAGUUUUGAGCUUUUCUUUAAUGCACUUUUCAGUUAACAAGUCAACAUCAAUUUCUUUUGCUGUAAAAAAGCUUGAGGAAGGUGGCUUGAGAUUCGUCUUAAGUGUUUAUAGCCUCUUGCCUAUGCAGUCGGAGAGAUUGAGGUCUGCAGCGUAGAUCCUUCGGGGCUAAAUGCAUUUGUGCUAAGUUAUAGCAUUUUAUAGACAACUUGUUGACUAUGAUUUGUCUUGUAGCUUACUCGCUUAUGUUAUUUUACCUACGCUUAGGAUGUUGAGCGCAUGUCUCUCUCU